CACGUAGGGGGCAAGCGUUGUCCGGAUUUAUUGGGCGUAAAGAGCUCGUAGGCGGCUUAGUAAGUCGGGUGUGAACCUCCAGGCUCAACCUGGAGACGCCACCCGAUACUGCUGUGGCUAGAGUCCGGUAGGGGAGCGUGGAAUUCCUGGUGUAGCGGUGAAAUGCGCAGAUAUCAGGAGGAACACCAGCGGCGAAGGCGGCGCUCUGGGCCGGAACUGACGCUGAGGAGCGAAAGCGUGGGUAGCAAACAGG
rnacentral:rRNA from 1 species